UACGUAGGGGGCAAGCGUUGUCCGGAAUCAUUGGGCGUAAAGCGCGUGUAGGCGGCCAGGUAGGUCCGCUGUGAAAACCCGAGGCUCAACCUCGGGACGUCGGCGGAAACCAUCUGGCUAGAGUCCGGAAGAGGAGAGUGGAAUUCCCGGUGUAGCGGUGAAAUGCGCAGAUAUCGGGAAGAACACCCGUGGCGAAGGCGGCUCUCUGGGACGGUACUGACGCUGAGACGCGAAAGCGUGGGGAGCGAACAGG
rnacentral:rRNA from 1 species